rnacentral:rRNA from 1 species
UACGGAGGAUGCGAGCGUUAUCCGGAUUUAUUGGGUUUAAAGGGUGCGUAGGCGGACUGUCAAGUCAGCGGUAAAAUUGAGAGGCUCAACCUCUUCCUGCCGUUGAAACUGGUGGUCUUGAGUGGAUGAGAAGUACGCGGAAUGCGUGGUGUAGCGGUGAAAUGCAUAGAUAUCACGCAGAACUCCGAUUGCGAAGGCAGCGUACCGGCAUCCAACUGACGCUGAGGCACGAAAGCGUGGGGAUCAAACAGG